rnacentral:snRNA from 1 species
GUGCUCACUUCAGCAGCACAUAUACUAAAAUUGGAAUGACACAAAGAAGAUUAGCAUGGCCCCUGCAUAAGGAUGACAUGCAAAUUUGUGAAGCAUUCCAUAUUUUA